AUGAUAUAGUCCAACCUUUAUAGUGAUAUAA
rnacentral:autocatalytically_spliced_intron from 1 species